CCUACGGGGGGCAGCAGUGGGGGAUAUUGCACAAUGGGGGAAACCCUGAUGCAGCGACGCCGCGUGUAGGAAGACGGUCCUCUGGAUUGUAAACUACUGUCCCCAGGGACGAAGAUGACGGUACCUGGGGAGGAAGCUCCGGCUAACUACGUGCCAGCAGCCGCGGUAAUACGUAGGGAGCGAGCGUUGUCCGGAAUUACUGGGUGUAAAGGGAGCGUAGGCGGGGAUGCAAGUUGGGUGUUAAAUCUACCGGCUCAACUGGUAGUCGCACUCACACCCCCCCCCC
rnacentral:rRNA from 1 species